rnacentral:rRNA from 1 species
AGAGUUUGAUCAUGGCUCAGAUUGAACGCUGGCGGCAGGCCUAACACAUGCAAGUCGAACGGUAACAGGAAGAAGCUUGCUUCUUUGCUGACGAGUGGCGGACGGGUGAGUAAUGUCUGGGAAACUGCCUGAUGGAGGGGGAUAACUACUGGAAACGGUAGCUAAUACCGCAUAACGUCGCAAGACCAAAGAGGGGGACCUUCGGGCCUCUUGCCAUCGGAUGUGCCCAGAUGGGAUUAGCUAGUAGGUGGGGUAACGGCUCACCUAGGCGACGAUCCCUAGCUGGUCUGAGAGGAUGACCAGCCACACUGGAACUGAGACACGGUCCAGACUCCUACGGGAGGCAGCAGUGGGGAAUAUUGCACAAUGGGCGCAAGCCUGAUGCAGCCAUGCCGCGUGUAUGAAGAAGGCCUUCGGGUUGUAAAGUACUUUCAGCGGGGAGGAAGGGAGUAAAGUUAAUACCUUUGCUCAUUGACGUUACCCGCAGAAGAAGCACCGGCUAACUCCGUGCCAGCAGCCGCGGUAAUACGGAGAGUGCAAGCGUUAAUCGGGAUUACUGGGCGUAAAGCGCACGCAGGCGGUUUGUUAAGUCAGAUGUGAAAUCCCCGGGCUCAACCUGGGAACUGCAUCUGAUACUGGCAAGCUUGAGUCUCGUAGAGGGGGGUAGAAUUCCAGGUGUAGCGGUGAAAUGCGUAGAGAUCUGGAGGAAUACCGGUGGCGAAGGCGGCCCCCUGGACGGAGACUGACGCUCAGGUGCGAAAGCGUGGGGAGCAAACAGGAUUAGAUACCCUGGUAGUCCACGCCGUAAACGAUGUCGACUUGGAGGUUGUGCCCUUGAGGCGUGGCUUCCGGAGCUAACGCGUUAAGUCGACCGCCUGGGGAGUACGGCCGCAAGGUUAAAACUCAAAUGAAUUGACGGGGGCCCGCACAAGCGGUGGAGCAUGUGGUUUAAUUCGAUGCAACGCGAAGAACCUUACCUGGUCUUGACAUCCACGGAAGUUUUCAGAGAUGAGAAUGUGCCUUCGGGAACCGUGAGACAGGUGCUGCAUGGCUGUCGUCAGCUCGUGUUGUGAAAUGUUGGGUUAAGUCCCGCAACGAGCGCAACCCUUAUCCUUUGUUGCCAGCGGUCCGGCCGGGAACUCAAAGGAGACUGCCAGUGAUAAACUGGAGGAAGGUGGGGAUGACGUCAAGUCAUCAUGGCCCUUACGACCAGGGCUACACACGUGCUACAAUGGCGCAUACAAAGAGAAGCGACCUCGCGAGAGCAAGCGGACCUCAUAAAGUGCGUCGUAGUCCGGAUUGGAGUCUGCAACUCGACUCCAUGAAGUCGGAAUCGCUAGUAAUCGUGGAUCAGAAUGCCACGGUGAAUACGUUCCCGGGCCUUGUACACACCGCCCGUCACACCAUGGGAGUGGGUUGCAAAAGAAGUAGGUAGCUUAACCUUCGGGAGGGCGCUUACCACUUUGUGAUUCAUGACUGGGGUGAAGUCGAAACAAGGUAACCGUAGGGGAACCUGCGGUUG